rnacentral:lncRNA from 1 species
GAUCUAUGAUGAUUCCCAGUCAAACAUUCCUUGGAAAAGCUGAACAAAAUGAGUGAAAACUCUGUACCGCCACUCUCAUCGGAACUGAGGUCCAGCAUCCUGGGUCUCCCAGGUGCUAUGGGCGUCAGGCACAGGCUGCCCAACCACUCCAUGUUCUUGAGUUCUUUGGGCUCUAGCCAGACUCUCCAGAGACAGGUGUGUGCUUGGCCUACUCUGCCAAAAAUCCAUGGCAGAGGACACAGCAGGUCUUUAAGCUCUGGUGGCUUGCUCCCUUUGCUGUAGUGGAGAUGCUUGGCAGAUAAUCAGUAGGUAGUCGUGCUAGGUCCAAGGAGAAGGCCCCAGCCAUUGUGGAAAGUAGACUGUGAGGCAAAAAUAGCAGUGGCAGUGGCACCAAAUCUUGGCUUUUCACAUGGGAAUAUCAAGCAGUGGACUCAAGCUUCUCAGAAGCACUUAUAUGAAUUUUAACCCUGUUGCAUUGCUUUACAUAGUAAUAGAAUGCACGCUGCUGGUAGAGUGUAGCUUGACCAGUAGCAUGUAAAAGAGACUGUGUGACUGUUGUCAGUUCAGUUGGUGAACAGAAGUCUCUGUGUCCCUGGCAGCUUGGAAGUUUCCCCGGGCGAUUGGCUAGGAAAUAGAGAAGGAGCUAAGCCUUGGAGGUGAUGGCAGGCACCUCAAGGGUCAGUUUGCACCACAUUUACACACUUACCUGUGUCUGUAGAUGGAUGAAACUUUGAUGGACUCGCUGGGAGCAUGAGACUUGCAGACCUGUGUCUCGAUAGAUUUGUUGAAAUAACUUUUGUAGGAAUCUCCUCUUUGGUAUGUGCUGUUGCUUUGGAUGUUGUUGAAGGGAUAUCCUUGGUAUAUUUGGACAUUGUUGUCAGCCUCCUUGGCAAGGUCAAAGGGAAAGUCUAGGAACAGUUCUUGCACCCACAGCCUUAGGAGAACCAUCUUGGUGAGAGACCCUCUAAAUUAGAGACCAAGGUGUCAUGGGACCUUUCUUUUCGAUGUUUUGGCCUAACUCUUCUGGAAAGACAAGUUGCUAGUGUGCAUAGGAAGGAGGUUUCAACAGGGCACAUCGUGUUUUGCAAAUCCACCUUGAGAGCCAUGCUCAUGGGAAUCAUCAGGGAGAAAAUAAGUUCUUGGGUGCAGACUGCAUUUGACACACUAAGAUAACUUGAGUCAAGUUGGAUCCUGGCCUGUGAUAGUUCUGCACAAUGAAAUUUUCUUUAGUGUGAGAAGCUAAGCAGUAUAGUCUGAGAAGUUUUCACCAGAAAAGAUCAAAGCAGGGGUGGAUGGCCAAAAGCAAUCUCAUGAGAGAGGUGGAAGUCUUCACAACAGACAAAAUGAGCACUGGACAGGAGGACAGAAAUAGGGACUGGCUGCCACAGCAAGGAAUGUCUCAGGGUAAAAGACACACACACACACACACACACACACACACACACACACAUUAACACAGAGAAUGGGAGAGAGUGGGGGGUUCCUUUCAGCUGUGAAAAUGAAGCCUGCUUCCCAUGAGCUGGAAUUCUGAACUCUCAGAGGAGUUUGAUUUUACCUCAUGCAAUGACCCAGAAGUAAUGAUCAGAGAAGGACUGGAGCCAUGAUUGAAGGCUCAAAAGUUGUUGGCUUAGAUAUCCUUGGAGGCCCAAUUUUGCUGGUGAACUUAUUCAGAGCUGCCUCCUCCUUCUUCGUCAGCAUAGGCAAGGGGACCUAUGAUUGCCCUUGUUAUUGACUUUUUCUGACUGGAUGCUUGGAGAAGAGCCUUCAUUCCCUUGAAAACUUUGCUCAGGACACUGGUGGAGGAAGUUGAUGGCAUGGACCUAAGAGAAAGUGUUGAGUACCUGUAUUGCAGCUCACAUAUCAUCCUUCAGUCCUUAGAGUGACCUGAGGACCCAGCAAACACUUGAGAGCAAAGGGCAUGGCACGAUCACAUCCAAGGCCUGAGAGUAACAGCAAGUGAGAUCUGGAAGAGCAGUGUGAAGAGGGUUGCAUUCCCUUUCCAGUAUGGUCCAUGGAAAACAUGCAGAGGAAAUGGCCCCACAGCAUUGGCUGAGUGUUUAUAUCUUCCAACCGAGUCUCCAUCGAACUGUUGUGGUGUUGCUGACUUGGCCUAGGUCACCUGAGUUAAAAGGGUUGCAUUCCCUUUCCAGUAUGGUCCAUGGAAAACAUGCAGAGGAAAUGGCCCCACAGCAUUGGCUGAGUGUUUAUGUCAUCCAACCGAGUCUCCAUCGAACUGUUGUGGUGUUGCUGACUUGCCCUAGGUCACUUGAGUUAAAUGAGAUGCAUUCCUUUUCCUUCAUGGGCCAUGAGUGACAUCCAGAGAAAGUGUCACCACAACACUGGACAAAAGUUGAUGAUAUCUGAAUGAGCUACCAGUAAACCCCCCCCUUUUUUUGCUGUUAUUGCCUUGCCUGAGGAAAAGCGAGUUAAAAGAUGAUACCUACAGUGAUGAGUUGGAGUUAUAGAUGGUGCCAUUUCUUCUACCAGCAGCUUCACCAAAACAAUCUCCAUUAUACAUGCUGAUGCCUCUUUCCUGUGUAGCAGCAGACACCACCUGCAGAUAAGAAAUGCUUAAGUGAGAAAUGCUCAUUUUGGGAUAUCAUCGCUGAAACUAUAAUUUGGGCAUGGUGACUGUUUCCCUUGCUGCCACUUGACUCAAUCUCAGAAGUUUAAUAGAUCAAAUAAUAUUGUACAAUAUGCUCAAAAUGGUGGAAGUAAUUAGUGCUCCUAUAAAUAUAUAUUGACAAUUUAAAUAUAACAUAUUAAAAAUAAAAUGCAUGAUUAAACAAACCUGAAUGCAUACUUAUAUAAUUAAUACAUAAAAUAUGUGCUGCCUCUUUUUUGAAGGCUAUCCCCAUAGUUUCUCUCUGUUAAGAGAAGGAUAUACAUGCUUUUAAGCAAUAAAUAUACAAGCAGAUACACAUACUGUCUGGUGGGGGCACUUCUAGUAGUAAUGCCAUAUUAUUAUGCAAAUUGCUACUUUUGUUUGAGUCUUUUUGAUGAGCUUUUGCUACUAUGUCAUUUAUUGAAUGACUAUAUGACUGUUUUGUAGAUGAAAUAGAAUUAAAUAUUUUAAAUAUUGCUUAUACAUGCAUUUAUAUAGGUGCUAAUUUUCUGUGCAAUAGACUUCCGUAUAUAUUAACAUUUAUGCAUUCAUCUCCUCUAUUAAAGUAAAUUUACCUAGAACACAAAUUAUUGAAAUUAAGUAUAUUGACACUUAAUAUUUUUAUAAUUGUUAUGAUUCCUUUAAGAAUGUGCUUGAAGAGCUUUCUUGUAAGAAUCAAUGAAUUAGAUUGCCCAAUUUUUCAAAAUACAAUUAUGGUAGAUUUUACAAAUGAUUGAGAUCCUUUCCAGUGUGUUAGCCCAAAUUGUUGCUCUGACUUGUAUUUAUUUUAUUUUUGAGUUUGAUCAUUUUCAUGUUUAAUAGCCAUCUGUAUUAUUUUAAUUUCCUAUUUAUCUCAAAACUUGGGAGUAUUUAGUCUCUUUAAUGAUCUUAUAGUAUUUGGGAAAGAUAAGAUUUUGGAUUGUCAAACAUUACAUGUUUGUCACACUUUUAAACUUUGUUUUGUUAUCAGAAUGCGUAUUAUUCUUACAUGUCCAAAUAUAACCAUGUUUGCUUUUAUGGCUUCUGAGUUUCAUGUCAUUUAAAAAAAUAUUCUGAACCCAUAAAGCUUUUCACCUAUGUUAAUUCUAAUUAUUUUGUGUUUUUUAAAGUCAAAUUCUUAUGUCAUGAAAAAAAUUUUAUUUUGAAAUCUUACAGUUGCGAAGUUAUUUGCCAUUACUUAUAAUUAUUUGCCAAUAAUUGCCCACUUAUCUGUAAUGCCAUCUUGCAUAUGUGCUGUAUUCUCAUCCAUGAAUGGCUCCAUUUUUGUUUUGUGGAUAUGUGUGUCUCUUCUCCCUUCUGUCUCAUGUGUCUUCUUGUUGGAAGAAGUUACAGUAUAGACUGUAAUUUCAUCAAUCUUAAUAAAUUAAUCUGGGAAAAACUUGUUUU